UAACGAAAUUGUUUAGAGACUCUUAGAAUUUCUCACCAAAACUGGCAAUGCUGGCACAUGGACGUGCCAGCAAGGCACAGAUGAACAUGGAUGUGAAUUUGUGCCGGUUGCCGGAACUUUUUUUAUAUUUCAUGAAAUUCUUAGAGACUCUUAACAAUGCAGUGA
rfam:Roseburia sp. CAG:45 genomic scaffold, scf17